CCUGGUCAGCGAGGAAGCGGCGGCCUUGCAGCGGCUGCGCACGGCGAUGCCGGUGUUCGAUGCGUCGGGCCAAGA
rnacentral:tRNA from 1 species